rnacentral:rRNA from 1 species
AUGUCGAAGAGGAAAACCAGGGAGCCUAAGGAGGAGAAUGUUACUCUUGGACCUGCUGUCCGUGAAGGGGAGCAUGUCUUCGGAGUUGCUCAUGUCUUUGCAUCAUUCAAUGACACAUUCAUCCACGUCACUGACUUGUCCGGGAGAGAGACCCUUGUUCGUAUCACUGGUGGAAUGAAGGUCAAGGCUGAUCGUGACGAGUCAUCACCAUAUGCAGCUAUGCUUGCUUCUCAAGAUGUGGCGACACGUUGCAAGGAGCUCGGCAUCACUGCUUUGCACAUUAAGCUCCGUGCCACUGGAGGCAACAAGACCAAGACUCCUGGACCUGGUGCUCAAUCCGCUCUCAGGGCACUCGCUCGUUCUGGCAUGAAAAUUGGACGCAUUGAGGACGUGACCCCCGUUCCCACUGACAGCACCCGCAGAAAGGGUGGUAGGAGAGGAAGGAGGCUGUAG